rnacentral:rRNA from 1 species
GGCUACGCAUCGUCGCCUUGGUGCAGCCGUUACCGCUCCAACUAGGCUAAUCGCGCCGAGUAACCCGUGGGUACCGGCCUGUAAGACUGGGAUAACUCCGGGAAACCGGGGCUAAUACCGGAUGGCGGUUUGAACCGCAUGGUUCAAACAUAAAAGGUGGCUUCGGCUACCACUUACGGAUGGACCCGCGGCGCAUUAGCUAGUUGGUGAGGUAACGGCUCACCAAGGCAACGAUGCGUAGCCAACCUGAGAGGGUGAUCGGCCACACUGGGACUGAGCCAGGCCCAACACUAAUACGGGAGGCAGCAGUAGGGAAUCUUCCGCAAUGGACGAAAGUCUGACGGAGCAACGCCGCGUGAGUGAUGAAGGUUUUCGGAUCGUAAAGCUCUGUUGUUAGGGAAGAACAAGUACCGUUCGAAUAGGGCGGUACCUUGACGGUACCUAACCAGAAAGCCACGGCUAACUACGUGCCAGCAGCCGCGGUAAUACGUAGGUGGCAAGCGUUGUCCGGAAUUAUUGGGCGUAAAGGGCUCGCAGGCGGUUUCUUAAGUCUGAUGUGAAAGCCCCCGGCUCAACCGGGGAGGGUCAUUGGAAACUGGGGAACUUGAGUGCAGAAGAGGAGAGUGGAAUUCCACGUGUAGCGGUGAAAUGCGUAGAGAUGUGGAGGAACACCAGUGGCGAAGGCGACUCUCUGGUCUGUAACUGACGCUGAGGAGCGAAAGCGUGGGGAGCGAACAGGAUUAGAUACCCUGGUAGUCCACGCCGUAAACGAUGAGUGCUAAGUGUUAGGGGGUUUCCGCCCCUUAGUGCUGCAGCUAACGCAUUAAGCACUCCGCCUGGGGAGUACGGUCGCAAGACUGAAACUCAAAGGAAUUGACGGGGGCCCGCACAAGCGGUGGAGCAUGUGGUUUAAUUCGAAGCAACGCGAAGAACCUUACCAGGUCUUGACAUCCUCUGACAAUCCUAGAGAUAGGACGUCCCCUUCGGGGGCAGAGUGACAGGUGGUGCAUGGUUGUCGUCAGCUCGUGUCGUGAGAUGUUGGGUUAAGUCCCGCAACGAGCGCAACCCUUGAUCUUAGUUGCCAGCAUUCAGUUGGGCACUCUAAGGUGACUGCCGGUGACAAACCGGAGGAAGGUGGGGAUGACGUCAAAUCAUCAUGCCCCUUAUGACCUGGGCUACACACGUGCUACAAUGGACAGAACAAAGGGCAGCGAAACCGCGAGGUUAAGCCAAUCCCACAAAUCUGUUCUCAGUUCGGAUCGCAGUCUGCAACUCGACUGCGUGAAGCUGGAAUCGCUAGUAAUCGCGGAUCAGCAUGCCGCGGUGAAUACGUUCCCGGGCCUUGUACACACCGCCCCGUCCACACCCACGAGAGUUUGUAACACCCGAAGUCGGUGAGGUA